CACGUAGGGCGCAAGCGUUGUCCGGAAUUAUUGGGCGUAAGAGCUCGUAGGCGGUCUGUUGCGUCCGCUGUGAAAACUCGGGGCUUAACCCCGAGCCUGCAGUGGAUACGGGCAGACUAGAGGUAGGUAGGGGAGAAUGGAAUUCCCGGUGUAGCGGUGAAAUGCGCAGAUAUCGGAGGAACACCGGUGGCGAAGGCGGUUCUCUGGGCCUUACCUGACGCUGAGGAGCGAAAGCGUGGGGAGCGAACAGG
rnacentral:rRNA from 1 species